rnacentral:rRNA from 1 species
CUACUGGGGUAUCUAAUCCCGUUCGCUCCCCACGCUUUCGUCCAUCAGCGUCAGUUGAUGGUUAGUGACCUGCCUUCGCGAUCGGUGUUCUAUGUAAUAUCUAUGCAUUUCACCGCUACACUACAUAUUCCGGCCACUUCACCAUAACUCAAGACAACCAGUAUCAAGGGCAGUGCUACGGUUGAGCCGCACCAUUUCACCCCUGACUUAAUUGCCCGCCUGCGGACCCUUUAAACCCAAUGAUUCCGGAUAACGCUUGGACCCUCCGUAUUACCGCGGCUGCUGGCAC